GACGUAGGUGGCGAACGUUAUCCGGAAUUAUUGGGCGUAAAGGGUGCGUAGGCGGCAUGAUAAGUUAUUGGCGGUAAAUCGAGGCUCAACCUCGCGGAAACUAAUAAUACUGGCUUGCUUGAGUACAGAAGAGGUUAACGGAACUCCAUGUGGAACGGUAAAAUGUGUAGAUAUAUGGAAGAACAUCAAUAACGGCGAAGGCAGUUAACUAUUCUGUUACUGACGUUGAGGCACGAAAGCGUGGGGAGCAAAAAGG
rnacentral:rRNA from 1 species